rnacentral:rRNA from 1 species
GACGAACGCUGGCGGCGUGCUUAACACAUGCAAGUCGAACGGAAAGGCCCUGCUUUUGUGGGGUGCUCGCGUGGCGAACGGGUGAGUAACACGUGAGUAACCUGCCCUUGACUUUGGGAUAACUUCAGGAAACUGGGGCUAAUACCGGAUAGGAGCUCCUGCUGCAUGGUGGGGGUUGGAAAGUUUCGGCGGUUGGGGAUGGACUCGCGGCUUAUCAGCUUGUUGGUGGGGUAGUGGCUUACCAAGGCUUUGACGGGUAGCCGGCCUGGGAGGGUGACCGGGCACAUUGGGACUGAGAGACGGACCAGACUCCUACGGUAGGCAGCAGUGGGGAAUAUUGCACAAUGGGCGGAAGCCUGAUGCAGCAACGCCGCGUGCGGGAUGACGGCCUUCGGGUUGUAAACCGCUUUCGCCUGUGACGAAGCGUGAGUGACGGUAAUGGGUAAAGAAGCACCGGCUAACUACGUG